rnacentral:rRNA from 1 species
GAUGAACGCUGGCGGCGUGCCUAAUACAUGCAAGUCGAGCGAACGGACGAGAAGCUUGCUUCUCUGAUGUUAGCGGCGGACGGGUGAGUAACACGUGGAUAACCUACCUAUAAGACUGGGAUAACUUCGGGAAGCCGGAGCUAAUACCGGAUAAUAUUUUGAACCGCAUGGUUCAAAAGUAAAAGACGGUCUUGCUGUCACUUAUAGAUGGAUCCGCGCUGCAUUAGCUAGUUGGUAAGGUAACGGCUUACCAAGGCAACGAUGCAUAGCCGACCUGAGAGGGUGAUCGGCCACACUGGAACUGAGACACGGUCCAGACUCCUACGGGAGGCAGCAGUAGGGAAUCUUCCGCAAUGGGCGAAAGCCUGACGGAGCAACGCCGCGUGAGUGAUGAAGGUCUUCGGAUCGUAAAACUCUGUUAUUAGGGAAGAACAUAUGUGUAAGUAACUGUGCACAUCUGGACGGUACCUAAUCAGAAAGCCACGGCUAACUACGU